rnacentral:lncRNA from 1 species
AUAAUAAAAAAUAAUGCGUCUUGGCUUUACACCUCAGUUUUCUAUUGUUCGAGGUGAAUGAUUCGUCAUGAAAAGCAUUAUUUGUUGUAGUGUUAUUACGUUAAAUGUAUGCUAUAUUGGAUGCAUGUAUUCCUCUUCCUUUUCUUAUUUUGAUAAUGUUAAAAGAGGAAGAAAUGUUGGUUGUGUUGUGGUUGUCUGGAUUAAAAGAAGUUGCAAGUUUACAAGGUUGUAUGAUUACAAGCUUUAGCAUCAAAUGGGGAGCCAUACAUUAAGGGG